rnacentral:misc_RNA from 1 species
GAUGAAGAACGUAGCGAAAUGCGAUAAGUAGUGUGAAUUGCAGAAUUCAGUGAAUCAUCGAAUCUUUGAACGCACAUUGCGCCUUCUAGUAUUCUGGGAGGCAUGCCUGUUUGAGCGUCAUUAAACCUCUCUCAAGUAUGAUUACUUGGAUGUGAAGGAAGAGUACCUUAAACUUAAGGAGUGUUCUCCUUUGAAAUUGAUUAGCAGAUGGUAAUGUUAUUAAAUCCCUGAUGUUGUAAGAAAUAAGAGUGGUUUUGUAGACUAUUAUCUAGCUUUAAAUUAUAAUUUUUAUUAUGGUUGACCUCAAAUCAGGUAAGGAUACCCGCUGAACUUAAGCAUAUCAAUAAGCGGAGGA